rnacentral:rRNA from 1 species
AGAAUCAACGCUGGCGGCGUGCCUCAGACAUGCAAGUCGAACGCGAAAGCCCCCUUCGGGGGCAAGUAGAGUGGCGCACGGGUGAGUAACACGUAGGUAAUCUACCUUCGGAUGGGGAAUAACAAUCGGAAACGAUUGCUAAUACCGCAUAAUGCAGCGGCACCUAAUGGUGACAGUUGUUAAAGCGGGGGAUCGAAAGACCUCGCGUCUGAAGAGGAGCCUGCGGCGGAUUAGCUAGUUGGUAAGGUAAUGGCUUACCAAGGCAACGAUCCGU